rnacentral:misc_RNA from 1 species
AACGCACCUUGCGCCCCUUGGCAUUCCGAGGGGCACACCCGUUUGAGUGUCGUGAAAUUCUCAAAACCUUUCUUUUGGUCUUAUCGAUCGGGGGAAGGGUUUUGGACUUGGAGGCUUUUGCUGGUUUCAUCUUGAAGCGAGCUCCUCCCAAACGAAUUAGUGGGGUCCGCUUUGCCGAUCCUUGACGUGAUAAGAUGUUUUCUACGUCUUGGGUUUGGCACUGUCACUUGGGCACCUGCUUCUAACCGUCUCAUUGACAAUGAUGGCGUUCCGGUCACCGCCGUUUAAUCGGCGGGAGGCUUGACCCACAAAAAACCUUGACCUCAAAUCGGGUGAGACUACCCGCUGAACUUAA